AGUGAACGCUGGCGGUAGGCCUAACACAUGCAAGUCGAACGGCAGCACAGUAAGAGCUUGCUCUUACGGGUGGCGAGUGGCGGACGGGUGAGGAAUACAUCGGAAUCUACUUUUUCGUGGGGGAUAACGUAGGGAAACGUACGCUAAUACCGCACACGACCUACGGGUGAAAGCAGGGGAUCUUCGGACCUUGCGCGAUUGAAUGAGCCGAUGUCGGAUUAGCUAGUUGGCGGGGUAAAGGCCCACCAAGGCGACGAUCCGUAGCUGGUCUGAGAGGAUGAUCAGCCACACUGGAACUGAGACACGGUCCAGACUCCUACGGGAGGCAGCAGUGGGGAAUAUUGGACAAUGGGCGCAAGCCUGAUCCAGCCAUACCGCGUGGGUGAAGAAGGCCUUCGGGUUGUAAAGCCCUUUUGUUGGGAAAGAAAAGCAGCAGGUUAAUACCCCGCUGUUCUGACGGUACCCAAAGAAUAAGCACCGGCUAACUUCGUG
rnacentral:rRNA from 1 species